UAGCUUUUUCUCUUUUGCUGUCAAAGGACGCUGUGUGCAGGCCUGAAACGGGGUCAAACGGAUACCCGUUUACAUCGCCUACUUCCAAGGAAAUAAAAUGGAGUGCUCUCUUUAUUAAUAUAGCGGACGUACAAUUUCCAACUAUACACACAUGGAUUGUUAAACUCGUAUCCAAGGAAUUUUCUAUUGAUAUUAAUUUUCUAUGAGAUAAUCCACAAUAUACAAAGCUAAAUCUUGGAAAAUGUGCAUGCUACCGUUUGAAACAUAUAGAAGUAACCUAGGGCAUAUUCAACGAUGGUUACUACACGGAUACCAAGGAAUACUAGACCAAUAAAAAUAAGACCUUAAUAUAAUAAAGAGGUAGUGUUUACUUGAAGAAGUAACCGCCUCUACACGGGUACCAAGACAUGAAAGAUGAUGACAUGUGGGUCCAUCAAGAAAGAAAAUAAAGUAAGAAAAGAACAAAACAUAUUAAAAAAGAGAGAGAAAAAAAUUAGUAACGGCCACCAUUGGAGAUGCCCUUGUACAGCAUGGUGUCUUAAUUUGACUCUGAACUCUGGACCAAGAGUUAGCACUAGAUGCGACGACAUACAAAGGAAAUAAGGUUCACUUUAUUAAGAGUUUGUUCUAUUGUCUUAAUCUGACCCGGGACCAAGAGUUAGCACUAAAUACGAUGAUAUAUAAAGGGAAUAAGGUUCACUUUAGCUAAGAUGUACUAUGUUCUAUUGUCUCAAUGUGACUUUGGACCAAUACUUAGCACUAAGCGUGAUGAUAUACAAAGGGAAUAUAUUAACUUUUAGCUAAGAGUUGUGUUCUAUCGUGUCUCGUACUCGACAUCAGCAAUUAUCCUACAUGA
rnacentral:lncRNA from 1 species